rnacentral:rRNA from 1 species
GAUGAACGCUGGCGGCGUGCCUAAUACAUGCAAGUCGAGCGAACAGGCGAGGAGCUUGCUCCUUUGACGUUAGCGGCGGACGGGUGAGUAACACGUAGGUAACCUACCUAUAAGACUGGGAUAACUUCGGGAAACCGGAGCUAAUACCGGAUAAUAUUUCGAACCGCAUGGUUCGAUAGUGAAAGAUGGCUUUGCUAUCACUUAUAGAUGGACCUGCGCCGUAUUAGCUAGUUGGUAAGGUAACGGCUUACCAAGGCAACGAUACGUAGCCGACCUGAGAGGGUGAUCGGCCACACUGGAACUGAGACACGGUCCAGACUCCUACGGGAGGCAGCAGUAGGGAAUCUUCCGCAAUGGGCGAAAGCCUGACGGAGCAACGCCGCGUGAGUGAUGAAGGUCUUCGGAUCGUAAAACUCUGUUAUUAGGGAAGAACAAACGUGUAAGUAACUGUGCACGUCUUGACGGUACCUAAUCAGAAAGCCACGGCUAACUACGUG